rnacentral:RNase_P_RNA from 1 species
AGUGGAAGGUGAUCGAGCCUUAAAAGGUUAGGAAAGUCCAUGCUAGCACAUGCUGAGAUGCAUGUAGUGUUUGUGCCUAAGGAAAACAUAACUUAGGGUAUGUACAACAUAACGGCGUCAGAUGACCUAAAGUUUACGAUGGUCUAUGACAUAACGUGCCACAGAAACGAGUUAUUUAGAAAUAAAUAAAUGAAACGCGGUAAACCCCUCAAGCUAGCAACCCAAAUUUGGUAGGGGCACAUACACAAAUGAAAUGAAAAAAGUGUAUGCUACUACUUGUAGAGAUAAAUGAUCACAGUCUAUCUUUGAUAGAAUACAGAACAUGGCUUAUGCAC